AUUUUAUAAAUUUUGAAAAGCACAAGAUUGAAAUUUUAAUGAUGAUUGGGUACGGAGAUAAAACAAGAACCCAAAAUGAAGUUUUGCAUUUAUUCAGACAGAAGUAUCCUGAUUUAUAGGUAGAAAAGUUUAUAAAGAACCGGCUGCUCAAUAUGCGCAAACCCAUUUUUCAACACAAAAUCGAUAGAAAAUCCGGUGGCAGAGAGAAAAGACGACCGCAAUAUAUUUUCUCUCGCUUCUUAUUAAAGAAACCGCAAUAACAAAGCAGCCGCCGUACUUCGUUUCUUUAUUCCUGCCGGGGAAUUAAAGCCUAUGAAUAGCCUGAAGGCCUACUCAGUGUCGUCUCGUACGGGAAGUGAGUUAAUCGUGUUAUAAGGCAUUUAAAAUCUGUUGUGUGUUUUUUUUUAAUUAUAAUAGUGAAAUAGACUAUAGUUUUUUUAGUUAGACUAUCCGAUUUUUAUUGUAAAAGAUGUCACCUAAGAAAGUAGGCAAACAAGGACAAAUAAUUCACAGCCAAGGGAGAGAGAUUAUUUCUAACGUGGCAGCUUUUAUGAAAAAAGAAGCAGAGCAAGGAAUUACUAUUCCUUUGAAAAAUGUUAGCUGCCACUCGAGUAUCCCAGUCAACUUACAGAAGAGUGGUCCAAGAGUCAGAAGAUAUAGAAAAUAUACCUUCCUGUUCCAGCAGGCAUACAGGCUCAUCUGAUGAAGAGAUCGAAUGGUCUUCAUCCGAUGAAUCUGAUUUAGGUUGUAAUACACUAUCUGAUAGUAAAUAAAAAUAUAUAAUAUGUAAAAUAAUGAAAUAAAACUUUAAGCUUAUACCAAUUUGUUUCUUUACACAAGUCGUUUAAAAUACCUAAUCCUUAAAAAAAAUGCGAAUAAAGAAUAAUUUUCAGCUACCUAUUUGAAGUUCUGUUUUAAAAAUAAUUAGCG